UGGAGUGGGCGAGAGCUCCGCCCUCCCAAACGUAGGGCCUGGGCAUCUCUGCACUUUGCACCCUCAGGAGCAGGGCCUGAAGGCUGGGGGGCAGGCUGCCAGUCCUGCAGACCAUAGUGGGAAUUUGUGGUGCCUUUUCUGGGCCCACCAAUGGCUGCCCAUGGACCAAUCAGCAGGUACUUCCUCCCCACUGAGGCCGAUAAAAGCCCAGGGCUCAGCCAGAGCAGAGCAGAUGAUGGGAAGAGCAGCUGCAGAGAGGAGCCACGUUUUCUGCUGGGAGCUGAACACUUGUUGGGACUACCUGCCUGAAGAGAGGUGCUAUCCUCUCUGCUAGGAGCUGAACACUCAUCCGGACACCCUGGCUGCAGAAAGGAGCUGCCCCCUGCAGGUCUCCCCUGAGCUGUUCUAUUGCCCAAUAACGCUCCUCUUCGUCUUGCUCACCCUUCCCUUGUCUGCAUAUCUCAUUCUUCCUGGUCACAUGACAAGAAGUCGGGACC
rnacentral:lncRNA from 1 species